CCUACGGGUGGCAGCAGUGAGGAAUAUUGGUCAAUGGUCGGGAGACUGAACCAGCCAAGCCGCGUGAGGGAUGAAGGUACAGAGUAUCGUAAACCUCUUUUGUCAGGGAACAAAGGCGGGGACGUGUCCCCGGAUGAGUGUACCUGAAGAAAAAGCAUCGGCUAACUCCGUGCCAGCAGCCGCGGUAAUACGGAGGAUGCGAGCGUUAUCCGGAUUUAUUGGGUUUAAAGGGGGCGGAGGCGGUCUGUUAAGUCAGCGGUAAAAGCCCGGGGCUCAACCCCGGCCCGCCGUUGAAACUGGCAGUCUCGAGUUGGAGAGAAGUAUGCGGAAUGCGCGGUGUAGCGGUGAAAUGCAUAGAUAUCGCGCAGAACUCCGAUUGCGAAGGCAGCAUGCCGGCUCCACACUGACGCUGAGGCACGAAAGCGUGGGUAUCGAACAGGAUUAGAUACCCUUGUAGUC
rnacentral:rRNA from 1 species